rnacentral:rRNA from 1 species
GACGGAGGAUGCAAGCGUUAUCCGGAAUGAUUGGGCGUAAAGCGUCCGCAGGUGGCAGUUCAAGCCUGCUGUCAAAGACCGGGGCUUAACUUCGGAAAGGCAGUGGAAACUGAACAGCUAGAGUAUGGUAGGGGCAGAGGGAAUUCCUGGGUGUAGCGGUGAAAUGCGUAGAGAUCGAGGAAGAACAUCGGUGGCGAAGGCGCUCUGCUGGACCAUAACUGACACUCAGGGACGAAAGCUAGGGGAGCGAAUGGG